CUUGCCCCUAGAUGCAUUGCAGGUGAGGCUGCUGUGUCACAUGUAAAUCAGUAGAUGGCAGAGAGGAGAGAGGCUAUGUCUAUACUGACUUAUGAACAUCUGAACGAUUAAUAGGCUAACAUU
ensembl:snoRNA LOC120102066 small nucleolar RNA SNORA17